CGCAUAUUGCACCUUAGAGUACUCUUUAAGGUAUACCUGUUUGAGCGUCGUUUAGAACAUAAAGCUUUGCUUUUUGUUAGAUUUUGGUUGAUUUUUAUUAAACCAAUUUCUUAAACAGAUUGGCGUUAUUUUGUUAACCGAGACACAGUGAAAAUGUGUGCCAAGUUGACAAGAAAAACCUGCCAGUUGAACUAUCUUUCAAUUGUUCGACCUCAAAUCAAGUAAGCCUACGCGCUGAACUGAA
rnacentral:misc_RNA from 1 species